AUAAAUUAUUUUAAUAUAUCAUGUCUUAUAAUGGGAUUUUCUUUUAAGUAUGAGGUAUUCAUGUUCUCUAAAAGUGUUUGAAGGAACCGAUUAAUCUCCGGUCUUAGACGUUGGUCAGCCUGAAAGUGUGGUCUCAGCUAAGGUAAGCAUACGACCCUGUUGGUAGUCCCAUCACUAAGAUAAUACUUAAGAUAAGACUGUUAUAAAGCCAUUAAGACUUGAUUAGAUCCCAUAAGCCUUCGAUGUAUUAUUAUAAUUUAUUAUAGGUUGUAUCAUAGUUGAUAAUUGUUUUAUGCUUUCUUAUGUGAAAAUCUUUGCUUUCCCAGUCAGUCUCUAGACAGUAUUUUCAAAAUAUGAAUUCCAACGUUCAUUCCAAAAAUACUAUCAACCUAUCUUCUAAAGCAACUCAGAUUGCUAAUAUCGAAAAUAAUCUUCAAAACUGGAGUAUCCCAGAAGAGUCUUUUAAUACGAUUUAUCAAAUCGGAAAAUUUAGUUCUUUCAAAAAACAUAAUAUUAAGACCUCUGAGUGUACUGUUGCCAUCAAUAAUUCUUUGGAAAUUAUACAACUUCUUAAUGACCUCGACAUAAACUGAUUUAAAAAUAAGUUUAAUUAUCUGCAUAUCGGACUCGUUCAGGUGGCCAUAAAGCCACUUUUUAGACAAGGUCUAGACAUCCCUGUCUGUGCUAUACUAAGAGAUGCUCGUCUAUUAAAUUUUGAUGACUCACUCUUAGGAGUCAUUCAAAGUAACCUAGCCGACGGCCCGGUAAACUUUAAUUGUUACCCUAAUUUCUCAGUAUACAUUAAUGAUCCUAACAUCAUGGAUGUUUUAACUCUUAAUGUUAAAACAAAAAACAUGACCAGUAAGGAUAAUACUAGAGAAAUCGCGAUAAUAUACAGAGUAUAUUAUCGACUAAUGGGUACAACUCUAGCACCUCAAGCUAGAUUCACAAGUCCUAGGGGUGUCACCACACUCAUGGAAGCCAAUAAAGACAGAAGCAAUGUCUUUGUUCCCAAGCCCUUGGUUUGGGAAGAAGUCAUCCAUAGUAAUGAAUGGCACUUUGAUGCUAUCACCCAACCCAUUCGUACCUAUCCCGAAAAAUCUCAAAUACAACGAGUUAUUCAGCAUCCUGAUGGCUCGAUUGAUUUAAAAUUCCUCAGCUUUGACACUCCUCGGAACUCUUCAUUUCGACGAUCUGUUUCGAACCACGCUUCCACUUCAAAAACCAAGGAGGAAAGUGACGAAGAUGAUAAUAACAAUGACAAGGGCAAUGUAAGAGGAGUCGACUUCUCUGGCCCCGUCCCAAAAGAUUAUUAUCAGUCCACUAGGGUCCAUGAGUCCCUAGAACCUGAAAAUCCUUAUGACCCAGGCAGUCCUACAGCCUCAGAUAUGGAACCUCCCCCUUCCAUAUCCCGUCAGAAAAUUAGGACUGACCCCAGCCUACUCGUCAUCAAAUCUGAUGAAGAGUAUACACCUGACCUUAAAGCUCUUGAAGUCGGCUGGUACCUUCCUAAGGACGCAAUAAAAAGGAAAUGGUACACCAGUACUUAUUCCAAAGAACAACAAAAGGAGUUAGGUCGGCUAUGGAUAGGCGAUAUGAAAAGACUCCGAUGUGACAUAGAAUUCUUCCGAUGGUUUGAGUUCACCGGAAGAAUGGAAAACCAAAAUGAUUCCCUCAACGUUAUAAUUAACAAAUGGUAUACUCAGAGUAACAAGAUAGUUGAAUCCGUUACUCCUUCUCUUGAAGGGAUAAAAAUUCCUCAUUCCAAUGAAGUCCUCAAUGCUUCACCCUUCAAGAAAAAACAUGAUAGACCACUAUCGGCCCCUAUCAAUAGAGACCUCGAUAGGAUAGUUGAACAAAACAACUAUACUAAUCAGGUCCUUCACACUAUCUCCCAGCAAAUAGGAGAUACUAAGAACACGAUACUUCCUUUUAGUUCCCCCUCUCUUAAGAAAGGGACUCCAAGUCCUAAUCCUAUAGCCAACCCUAUCUUUAAGAUCCCUGAAUUCCAGAAGGAAAAAUUCCCUAAUCUCAGCGAUGACUUCAAAGUAUCGGGAAAAAUCUUGGAACAAAUCAACAACAAACUUUCCAAGUUUAAGAUCUCUAAGAAAGCAGAGUCCAGUAACCAGAAAAACUCUCUUUCUAAACUCACCAGUGAUCGUUUUUCCACUAAGAAAAACUAUUACAAAAAACCAUCCCCUCCAAAUGUUCAAUUUGAGGAAAAUCCCUACCUCUCAACCUUCAACCAUGAUGGCAGAGAAAUAACUGAAUGGAAUGUUGACGGUUUGGCUGAACACCAAAUCUACAACAAACUCCACGAAAUGGGUGUAUCCAUCACGGCUUACAAAAUUAGAGGAGCCACUAAUAAGGAAGCAGCUACCAUGAUCGCAUCAGGUUUAACUGGUAUGAUAAAGCAUUGGUGGGACAACUACUUCAGUGAUGACAUUGAAAACCCUAUCUAUGGAGCCACAACCAUAGAAACAGUAGUCAAAAGUGAAAAUAGCCAAGAAAUCCUAGAGCAAGUUGCAAAAGAAGACGCUUGUGCCACUCUCCUAUACAACAUAGCUAGACAUUUCAUAGGAGAGCCCAAAUUAUUCCAAGAUAGGAGCUUAGAAAUCCUCAACAAUCUCACCUGCAAGGAGCUAGCAGACUUUCGUUGGUACAAAGAUACCUUCUUAGUAAAGGUCAUGAUCCGACCUGAUUGCAACAAUGAUUUUUGGAAGGAACGAUUCAUUAGUGGUCUCCCUUCUCUAUUUGCAGAAAAGGUUAGAACCAAAAUUAAGGAUUGAUUCGAGGGAAAGAUUCCUUACGAUAUCCUAACCUAUGGCGACUUAAUUAGUUUCAUCACCACUGUAGAGAUAGAUCUCUACACUGACAUUAAACUUAAGAAACAACUUAAGAAAGACAGUACUUCCAAAUAUGGGUUAGGAACCUUAUGCCAAGACUAUGGUUUUACCAGUCCUAGCAAAAAACAUAGAAAGAAGUCUUCCUCCAAAUCUCACAAAAGGACCACCUCUAACAAAAGAUCCUUCAAAAAGGAAUCUUUUAAGCCCAGUAGAAAGACCAAACGAAAAACCUCUAAAACCAAAGAUACUUGUUGGACUUGUGGCAAGACAGGCCACAGAGCGAAGGACUGCAAGUCUAAUAAGAAAAAGAAGAUAAACCAAUUAGAUAUCUCUGAAGAAACCAGAGCAAGUUUAUUCUCCAUAAUGGAAGAUUCUUCUGAGUUUUCUGAGUCUUCGGACUCUUAUGCCUCGUCCAGUGAUGACUAAAGCGAUGAAGAAUUCAUCAACGCCGCUUAUGGGAUGGAUCAAUCCCAAUCUGGCCAAGAAUGUGCCUGUAACGGUACCUUCUGCACUUGCACCAGAAAGACUGUNNNNNNNNNNNNNNNNNNNNNNNNNNNNNNNNNNNNNNNNNNNNNNNNNNNNNNNNNNNNNNNNNNNNNNNNNNNNNNNNNNNNNNNNNNNNNNNNNNNNNNNNNNNNNNNNNNNNNNNNNNNNNNNNNNNNNNNNNNNNNNCCUUUUAGCAUGAAACAGGUUAUGUCUAGAUUUGACAAACCCGCGGAACCUUCUAUUGCUGAUCUCAAGGGAGAAAUCUCCACAUUAAAGGGUGAGAUCAAGAAUCUUAAAAUCUGUCUUGACCAAGUAGAACUUAACGUUUUUACAGAUCAAGUCCAAAAAAGUAUUUCUCCCCCAGAAAAGGUUUCUCUGCCAGAGUCACCUAAGACUUUUCCGAACAUCCCUAAUGAUCAUCUCCGAGAACUAGAGCCUAGUUCCUUUCUCAGCUCCGAUUCUCCCUCCACAUCCGGCAAAGCUAUUACGGCCAUAAAGGCUUAUAGCGAGCACAUAGCCGUAAAAAUUGUGAUAAAUAAGGACUUUGUUCUUAACAGAGUCGCACUCUUCGAUACAGGGGCAGAUAGUAACUGUAUCGUUAAAGGUCUAGUACCUACAAAGUACCUUCAAAAGAGUACCUCUCGUCUUUACUCAGCAACGGGAGAAAAAAUGGAAAUCCAUUAUCAGCUCCCUAAAGCUCAUGUCUGCAAUAAUGGCAUUUGCCUUGUUAAUGACUUUGUCAUCACCGAAGAUAUCACCGAAGAUAUCAUUUUGGGAAUACCUUUCGUCAAGUAUCUUUCAUACAAGUAGCAUAUGACUUUACUCAACUAUGCUUAUACUUUUAAUAAAUUAUUUCAAUAUAUCAUGUCUUAUAAUGGGAUUUUCUUUUAAGUAUGAGGUAUUCAUCUUCUCUAAAAGUGUUUGAAGGAACCGAUUAAUCUCCGGUCUUAGACGUUGGUCAGCCUGAAAGUGUGGUCUCAGCUAAGGUAAGCAUACGACCCUGUUGGUAGUCCCGUCACUAAGAUAACACUUAAGAUAAGUCUGUUUAUAAAGCCAUUAAGACUUGAUUAGAUCCCAUAAGCCUUCGAUGUAUUAUUAUAAUUUAUUAUAGGUUGUAUCAUAGUUGAUAA
rnacentral:lncRNA from 1 species